GAGGAGAGGUAAAACCAACGAGAACUGCUAAUUCUUGCAUCUGAGCAUAAAUCCUCAGUCUCCUUA
rnacentral:tRNA from 1 species